UACGUAGGUGGCAAGCGUUGUUCGGAAUUACUGGGCGUAAAGGGCGCGUAGGCGGCCUUCUAAGUCGAACGUGAAAUCCCCGGGCUCAACCCGGGAACUGCGUCCGAUACUGGAAGGCUUGAAUCCGGGAGAGGGAUGCGGAAUUCCAGGUGUAGCGGUGAAAUGACGUAGAUAUCUGGAGGAACACCGGUGGCGAAGGCGGCAUCCUGGACCGGCAUUGACGCUGAGGCGCGAAAAGCCAGGGGGAGCAAACGGG
rnacentral:rRNA from 1 species